UAGAUCGGAAGCGAGAAUGUUGACAUGAGUAGCGACAAACAGGGUGAGAAACCCUGUCGCCGAAAGUCCAAGGGUUCCUGCUUAAAGCUAAUCUGAGCAGGGUAAGCCGGCCCCUAAGGCGAGGCCGAAAGGCGUAGUCGAUGGGAACCAGGUUAAUAUUCCUGGGCCAGUGGGAUGUGACGGAUCGCAGAUGUAGUUUGCCCUUAUCGGAUUGGGUGGGCUGCUGAGCGGUUCCUGGAAAUAGCCCCACAUCAGACCGUACCCUAAACCGACACAGGUGGACUGGUAGAGUAUACCAAGGCGCUUGAGAGAACCACGUUAAAGGAACUCGGCAAAAUGCCUCCGUAAGUUCGCGAGAAGGAGGCCCCAUAUGUGCGCAAGCAUGUGUGGGGGGCACAAACUAGGGGGUGGCGACUGUUUACUUAAAACACAGGGCUGUGCGAAGCCGUAAGGCGACGUAUACAGUCUGACGCCUGCCCGGUGCUGGAAGAUUAAGAGGAGGGGUGCAAGCUCUGAAUUGAAGUCCCAGUAAACGGCGGCCGUAACUAUAACGGUCCUAAGGUAGCGAAAUUCCUUGUCGGGUAAGUUCCGACCUGCACGAAUGGCGUAACGAUCUCCCCGCUGUCUCUAACGUGGACUCAGCGAAAUUGAACUGUCUGUCAAGAUGCAGACUACCCGCGGUUAGACGGAAAGACCCCAUGAACCUUUACUCCAGCUUUGCAUUGGCAACAGGACUGUGAUGCGCAGGAUAGGUGGUAGGCAUUGAAGCGGGGACGCCAGUCUUCGUGGAGCCUCCCUUGAGAUACCACCCUUCGCCGUCUUGUUGUCUAACCGCGACCCGUUAUCCGGGCCCGGGACCGUGCAUGGUGGGGAGUUUGACUGGGGCGGUCGCCUCCCAAAUUGUAACGGAGGCGCGCGAUGGUUGGCUCAGACCGGUCGGAAAUCGGUCGUUGAGUGCAAUGGCAGAAGCCAGCCUGACUGCAAGACUGACAAGUCGAGCAGAGACGAAAGUCGGUCAUAGUGAUCCGGUGGUCCCAAGUGGGAGGGCCAUCGCUCAACGGAUAAAAGGUACUCUGGGGAUAACAGGCUGAUGAUGCCCAAGAGUCCAUAUCGACGGCAUCGUUUGGCACCUCGAUGUCGGCUCAUCUCAUCCUGGGGCUGGAGCAGGUCCCAAGGGUACGGCUGUUCGCCGUUUAAAGAGGUACGUGAGCUGGGUUUAGAACGUCGUGAGACAGUUCGGUCCCUAUCUGCCGUGGGUGCAGGAGACUUGAGAAGAGUUGACCCUAGUACGAGAGGACCGGGUUGAACGAACCACUGGUGGACCAGUUAUCGUGCCAACGGUAGUGCUGGGUAGCUAUGUUCGGACAGGAUAACCGCUGAAGGCAUCUAAGCGGGAAGCCCCCUUCAAAACAAGGUCUCCCUUGAGGGCCGUGGAAGACGACCACGUCGAUAGGCCAGA
rnacentral:rRNA from 1 species